UGGGGAAUUUUGGACAGUGGGGGCAACCCUGAUCCAGCCAUCCCGCGUGUGCGAUGAAGGCCUUCGGGUUGUAAAGCACUUUUGGCAGGGAAGAAACAGCCUGGGAUAAUACCCCGGGCGACUGACGGUACCUGCAGAAUAAGCACCGGCUAACUACGUGCCAGCAGCCGCGGUAAUACGUAGGGUGCAAGCGUUAAUCGGAAUUACUGGGCGUAAAGCGUGCGCAGGCGGUUCGGAAAGAAAGGUGUGAAAUCCCAGGGCUUAACCUUGGAACUGCACUUUUAACUACCGAGCUAGAGUACGUCAGAGGGGGGUAGAAUUCCACGUGUAGCAGUGAAAUGCGUAGAGAUGUGGAGGAAUACCGAUGGCGAAGGCAGCCCCCUGGGAUGAUACUGACGCUCAUGCACGAAAGCGUGGGGAGCAAACAGGAUUAGAUACCCUGGUAGUCCACGCCCUAAACGAUGUCAACUAGCUGUUGGGGGUUUAAUUAACCUUAGUAGCGCAGCUAACGCAUUAAGCGCCCCGCCUGGGGAGUACGG
rnacentral:rRNA from 1 species